CACGUAGGGUGCGAGCGUUGUCCGGAAUUAUUGGGCGUAAAGAGCUCGUAGGCGGUGUGUCGCGUCGGCCGUGAAAACCUGCAGCUUAACUGUGGGCUUGCGGUCGAUACGGGCAUCACUGGAGUUCGGCAGGGGAAACUGGAAUUCCUGGUGUAGCGGUGAAAUGCGCAGAUAUCAGGAGGAACACCGGUGGCGAAGGCGGGUCUCUGGGCCGAUACUGACGCUGAGGAGCGAAAGCGUGGGGAGCGAACAGG
rnacentral:rRNA from 1 species